UACGUAGGGGGCAAGCGUUGUCCGGAAUUACUGGGCGUAAAGGGCUCGUAGGCGGCCAACUAAGUCGGACGUGAAAUCCCCAGGCUCAACCUGGGAACUGCGUCCGAUACUGGAUGGCUUGAAUCCGGGAGAGGGAUGCAGAAUUCCAGGUGUAGCGGUGAAAUGCGUAGAUAUCUGGAGGAAUACCGGUGGCGAAGGCGGCAUCCUGGACCGGCAUUGACGCUGAGGAGCGAAAGCCAGGGGAGCAAACGGG
rnacentral:rRNA from 1 species